AGAAAGCCGCUUGUCUCCCUGAUGAUGCUUAUCUUCUGAGAAAUAUGGAAGGAGCGAAAUGCUAGAGUUUUUCGCAACACGGCUGCUCUGGUGGGAGUGUUGCUCGGCAAGAUAAAAGACGAAUGCUCGAUGUGAAGCCUUACGGGAGCAAAACAUUUGUGUAACAUUAUGCCGCCAGAGGGAUGUACUGUAUUUGGCCUUUAG
rnacentral:rRNA from 1 species